CAAAACGACUCUCGGCAACGGAUA
rnacentral:ncRNA from 2 species